AUUAAAGGUUGAGGUGAACGUAAUUAUUAGAAUUUAAUAAAUAUUAUUAAAGGUUGAGUUCAACUUAAUUUAUUAGAAUUAAUUUAAUAAAUAUUAUUAAAGGUUGAGUUCAACUUAAUUUAUUAGAAUUAAUUUAAUAAAUAUUAUUAAAGGUUGAGUUCAACUUAAUUUAUUAGAAUUAAUUUAAUAAAUAUUAUUAAAGGUUGAGUUCAACUUAAUUUAUUAGAAUUAAUUUAAUAAAUAUUAUUAAAGGUUGAGUUCAACUUAAUUUAUUAGAAUUAAUUUAAUAAAUAUUAUUAAAGGUUGAGUUCAACUUAAUUUAUUAGAAUUAAUUUAAUAAUUAUUAUUAAAGGUUGAGUUCAACUUAAUUUAUUAGAAUUAUUAACUUUUUCCCAAAGGUUGGGUUCAACUAAUUUUUUAAAUUU